UACGUAGGGUGCGAGCGUUGUCCGGAAUUAUUGGGCGUAAAGAGCUCGUAGGCGGUGUGUCACGUCGGCCGUGAAAACCUGCAGCUUAACUGUGGGCGUGCGGUCGAUACGGGCAUCACUGGAGUUCGGCAGGGGAGACUGGAAUUCCUGGUGUAGCGGUGAAAUGCGCAGAUAUCAGGAGGAACACCGGUGGCGAAGGCGGGUCUCUGGGCCGAUACUGACGCUGAGGAGCGAAAGCCGUGGGGAGCAAACAGG
rnacentral:rRNA from 1 species